CCAGCUUCUAUUUUUUAUGUGAAAGAAGAGGAAAGGUUAUCUCCUAAAUAUGAUUUUUUGAGAAUAAAGAGGAAAACUUGAAGAGAAUGAAAAAGGUUAACAGCAUUUCCAUAGGUAGGAAAUGAAUUUUAAAAGUAAGAACAAGUAGACUAGUCAGGUCAAAAAAUACAUGAAUUUGUCACACUGUCAUCAACACAGUGAUGAGAUAUUUUUCUGCCCACUCAGUUACAAAGGAAACAGAUCAUGAAGUGACACAGGGUUGAGGAUGAACAGCGCAAGUGUGGGAGGAGGAUGAAGGAAUGUGAAGGGACACUGAUGUGAGAGAUGUUAAAAGCCAUUGACCACGCAGUCCUGCACAGGAACCCAAAAGAAACAGAAGGAUGAGUGUAUUCCUUCUUGUUCUACUCUUAAAGAGCAGGCGACUCCCUGCUCAGAUUCCAAAUUCCUUAGGAAAACAAGAAGCGGCAACAAAACCACACCAGUAACUUCCACUCACAUGUCAGUUUUAAAACAACUUGGGAAAGUUCUUGCCUUUGCAAGCACACCAAUAGCACUGGAGUGGAAGCCGGUUGAAGAGAUUGGUAGAAGGGAGCCAAGGAAAGCUCACCAGCGACACGAAGAGGCCACUGGUAUGUACUGUAUCUCAAUUUCACUGCCAAGGACACUCCUUAGUGGAUUAAGCACUAAAUUUAGA
rnacentral:lncRNA from 1 species